AACGAACGCUGGCGGCAUGCCUAACACGUGCAAGUCGAACGAGAUCUUCGGGUCUAGUGGCGCACGGGUGCGUAACGCGUGGGAAUCUGCCCUUUGGUUCGGAAUAACAGUUGGAAACGACUGCUAAUACCGGAUGAUGACGAAAGUCCAAAGAUUUAUCGCCAGAGGAUGAGCCCGCGUAGGAUUAGCUAGUUGGUGUGGUAAAGGCGCACAAAGGCGACGAUCCUUAGCUGGUCUGAGAGGAUGAUCAGCCACACUGGGACUGAGACACGGCCCAGACUCCUACGGGAGGCAGCAGUGGGGAAUAUUGGACAAUGGGCGAAAGCCUGAUCCAGCAAUGCCGCGUGAGUGAUGAAGGCCUUAGGGUUGUAAAGCUCUUUUACCCGGGAUGAUAAUGACAGUACCGGGAGAAUAAGCUCCGGCUAACUCCGUGCCAGCAGCCGCCGUAA
rnacentral:rRNA from 1 species